rnacentral:rRNA from 1 species
UACGUAGGGUGCAAGCGUUGUCCGGAAUUAUUGGGCGUAAAGAGCUCGUAGGCGGUCUGUCGCGUCGGCUGUGAAAACUCGGGGCUCAACUCCGAGCUUGCAGUCGAUACGGGCAGGCUAGAGUUCGGCAGGGGAGACUGGAAUUCCUGGUGUAGCGGUGAAAUGCGCAGAUAUCAGGAGGAACACCGGUGGCGAAGGCGGGUCUCUGGGCCGAUACUGACGCUGAGGAGCGAAAGCGUGGGGAGCUAACAGG